GGUUUGAUUCUGGCUCAGACGGAGCGCUGGCGGGAUGCUUUACACAUGCAAGUCGAACGGCAGCACGGACUUCGGUCUGGUGGCGAGUGGCGAACGGGUGAGUAAUGUAUCGGAACGUGCCUAGUAGCGGGGAUAACUACGCGAAAGCGUAGUUAAUACUGCACAAUAGCCCUUCGGGGGAAAGCGGGGGACCCUUCGGGCCUCGCACUAUUAGAGCGGCCGAUAUCGGAUUAGCUAGUUGGUGUAACGGCUCACUAAGGCGACGAUCCGUAGCCGGUCGAGAGGACGACCAGCCACACUGGGACCGAGACACGGCCCAGAAUUCUACGGGAGGCAGCAGUGGGGAAUUUUGGACAAUGGGGGAAACCCCGAUCCAGCCAUCCUGGGCGUGUGCGAUGUGAAGGCCUUCGGGUUGUAAAGCACUUUUUGGCAGGGGGAAAGAAACGGCACGGAUAAUACCCCGUGCAACUGACGGUACCUGCAGAAUAAGCACCGGCUAACUACGUGCCAGCAGCCGCGGUAAUACGUAGGUGCAAGCGUUAAUCGGAAUUACUAGCGGAAGCGUGGUGCAGGCGGUUCGGAAAGAAAGAUGUAAACCCAGGAGCUUAACUUUGGAACUGCAUUUUUAACUACCGAGCUAGAGUGUGUCAGAGGGAGGGAAUUCCGCGUGUAGCAGUGAAAUGCGUAGAUAUGCGGAGGAACACCGAUGGCGAAGGCAGCCUCCUGGGAUAACACUGACGCUCAUGCACGAGCGGAGCAAACAGGAUUAGAUACCUGGUAGUCCACGCUCUAAAACGAUGUCAAUCUCAGCUGUUGGGGCCUUUCUACCUUUGUAGCGCAGUUAACGUGAAGUUGACCGCCUGGGGAGUACGGUCGCAAGAUUAAACCUCAAAGGAAUUGACGGGGACCUGCACAAGCGGUGGAUGAUGUGGAUUAAUUCGAUGCAAAUGUGCGAAACUUUACCUACCUUUGACAUGUCUGGAAUCCCGAAGAGAUUUGGGAGUGCUCGCAAGAGAAACCGGAACACAGGUGCUGCAUGGCUGUCGUCAGCUCGUGUCGUGAGAUGUUGGGUUAAGUCCUGCAACGAAGGCGCAACUUUGUCAUUAGUUGUUGCUGAAAGGCACUCUAAUGAGACUGCCGGUGACAAACCGGAGGGCGGGGAUGACGUCGGAGUCCUCAUGGCCCCGGCGGUAGGGCUUCACACGUCAUACAAUGGUCGGGACAGAGGGUCGCCAACCCGCGAGGGGGAGCCAAUCCCAGAACCCGAUCGUAGUCCGGAUCGCAGUCUGCAACUCGACUGCGGAAGUCGGAAUCGCUAGUAAUCGCGGAUCAGCAUGUCGCGGUGAAUACGUUCCCGGGUCUUGUACACACCGCCCGUCACAAUUGCUGGCGGCUUUACCAGAAGUAUAGCCUAACCGUAAGGAGGGCGAUUACCACGGUAGGAUUCAUGACUGGGGAAGUCGUAACAAGGUAA
rnacentral:rRNA from 1 species